rnacentral:rRNA from 1 species
GACGAACGCUGGCGGCGUGCUUAACACAUGCAAGUCGAACGGAAAGGCCCUGCUUUUGUGGGGUGCUCGAGUGGCGAACGGGUGAGUAACACGUGAGUAACCUGCCCUUGACUUUGGGAUAACUUCAGGAAACUGGGGCUAAUACCGGAGAGGAGCUCCUGCUGCAUGGUGGGGGUUGGAAAGUUUCGGCGGUUGGGGAUGGACUCGCGGCUUAUGAGCUUGUUGGGGGGGUAGUGGCUUACCAAGGCUUUGACGGGUAGCCGGCCUGAGAGGGUGACCGGCCACAUUGGGACUACGGUAGGGCCCAGACUCCUACGGGAGGCAACAGUGGAAAAUAUUGCACAAUGAGCGGACGCCUGAUACAGCAACGCCGCGUGCGGAAUGACGGCCUUCGGGUUGUAAACCGCUUUCGCCUGUGACGAAGCGUGAGUGACGGUAAUGGGUAAAGAAGCACCGGCUAACUACGUG